rnacentral:rRNA from 1 species
GACGAACGCUGGCGGCGUGCCUAACACAUGCAAGUCGAACGGGGUAUUUCUUCGGAGAUACUUAGUGGCGAACGGGUGAGUAACGCGUGAGAAACCUGCCUUUCAGUGGGGGACAAUAGUUGGAAACGACUGCUAAUACCGCAUAAUGUUAUUUAAGGGCAUCCUUGAAUCACCAAAGCCUUAUGUGCUGAAAGAUGGUCUCGCGUGUGAUAAGCUAGAUGGCGGGGUAACGGCCCACCAUGGCGACGAUCAGUAGCCGGUCUGAGAGGAUGAACGGCCACAUUGGGACUGAGAUACGGCCCAGACUCCUACGGGAGGCAGCAGUGGGGAAUAUUGGGCAAUGGGGGAAACCCUGACCCAGCAACGCCGCGUGAAGGAAGAAGGCCUUCGGGUUGUAAACUUCUUUUACCAGGGACGAAAAAAUGACGGUACCUGGAGAAAAAGCAACGGCUAACUACGUGCCAGCAGCCGCCGUAAGAC